rnacentral:rRNA from 1 species
CUACGGGGCGCUGCAGUGGGGAAUAUUGCACAAUGGGGGAAACCCUGAUGCAGCAACGCCGCGUGAAGGAAGAAGGCCUUUGGGUCGUAAACUUCUGUUCUAAGGGAAGAUAAUGACGGUACCUUAGGAGCAAGUCCCGGCUAACUACGUGCCAGCAGCCGCGGUAAUACGUAGGGGGCAAGCGUUAUCCGGAAUUAUUGGGCGUAAAGAGUACGUAGGUGGUUUUUUAAGCACAGGGUUUAAGGCAAUGGCUUAACUAUUGUUCGCCUUGUGAACUGAAAGACUUGAGUGCAGGAGAGGAAGGCGGAAUUCCUAGUGUAGCGGUGAUAUGCGUAGAUAUUGGGAGGAACACCAGUGGCGAAGGCGGCUUUCUGGACUGUAACUGACACUGAGGUACGAAAGCGUGGGGAGCAAACAGGAUUAGAUACCCUCGUAGUC